GAGAACGUCGGAAAAAUAACCCAAAAAGUUUGAGUAGUGAGGAAACAACCAGAUAUCGCGAUAAAAGUCUCAGAUCAACACCCGAUUUAGAUUGGAAUUAUCAUUGACCGAAUACGUCAGAAACACCCCCAAAAAUUUCCAACGAGAUUUCAACUGAGACAAGAUACAGGAAAUUAUCGUCAGAUCAUUGUCCUUGCUCUGAUACCAUGAAAACAUCAAGAAAUCCAGACGAAAAUCGAAGAACAAGAUGAAAAAGGAGUCGGUUAGGUAGAAGCUUCUAGAGAGCUUUUUAGAGAAAGAGAGAGACUUCUCAAUUAAAA
rnacentral:lncRNA from 1 species